AAGAAAGUGUUCCCAUGGAAAACUAGCCAGGGAGUGGGGAGAAGGAGAUAGGGAAGGGGUAAAAGUCCAGCAAGGAUACAACCUCAGAUUAAGUCCUGAAUAAAGUACCUUCAAGUUGAUCCCACAGGGAACUGUGAUGUGUAAGCGAAGACCCAUGGCAAGGAAGCUAUGGCUUUCAUAUGCCCAGACAUGUCAGUGUAUGGUAAUUGAACACACGCAGGAAAUAUACAUUCCCAGACACUUCUUCGUGUUCACUCAGGCAAUGUAAGGCACAAGUAGCCUUAAGGCAAUUAAACAAAUACUAUAUAAUGGUCACCAAUGCUGGCUGUUAGAAACAAAAUCACACUAAGGCCAUGGCACCUAAAAACAGUAAAAAGAGGAUCCGAGAAGAUAUUGGCAAAGUACCAAAAUUGUCCACUUUGGUCCUAGCCUUGCCCUUCUCAGGUCUACUCCCAUCACACAAUUAAGUUCACUCCAUCCUGUAACAGAUUCUUCAAAAUGAUGGCUGGUCAAAAUUUCUGAGGAAAAAGAACUUAGAAAAAACCUCCAUAUCUGGAAGAGUAGCUGCAAUUGCAGUUAUAGCUGAUGAAGUUUAAAUAAUGCAAUUAUUUCCAAAGACCCGUCACCUUCUGUACGAGCUAGCAGGAAGAGAUAAAUGGGAAUGUGAACAGCAUCACCACCCUGCAUCUUUCAAGCCUUUCACCUUGGCACUCACUUCUGCAAUUCCCUGCAGGGAUGCAGUCCUGCUUUCAGUUAAAUAUCCUGGCAGGGAGGGAAAGUUCAGAGGCUUCCACUUACCCUUUCUACCAUAAUAACCCUCACUUCCUGGAUCAGAGGACCACUGCAGAGAUUCUGCCAGAUGCCAAGUGUAUCUGACAGAGGUCAAUUAUGCAUUUAGGAAUGGGAGAAAUAACCACCGGUGAGUCUGUGGACUUUAUUGGGCAAUUGGUGAUUCAAACUUGGAACAUCAUUUAUUACCUGAUUAUUUAUAAACCCCACAUUGGUAUUCUGAGUCCCCAAGGAUUAGUGUCAAUCCCCAAGAGUUUAGAUAUUUCACUUUCUCUAAUGCACAAUUACUGUAGUAACUGGUCUCAGAUCUCUUUUGACAAGGUUGGAUGAAAGAUAAGUGGUAGAUUUCCACUGGUAGUGUUUCAGGGGACCCAAAACUCUCCUUCAAUCAAGAAGCGCUUGGUCUGUGAACUGCCUUCAGUCUGGAAUUAAGGGAGAACACGUGAUUUUCCACUGUAGUGAGUCAAAUCAUACAUUUGGCACACCACUUGGAAUUUUUCUUGUUCUACAUCAAGUAAUGUUUUGCUGGUCUGCAUUUACUUUGUUUUUAGGGACAUGAAAUUAAUUAUCCCCUGCAAAAGAUUUCUGUGGAUUAAAACUUCACUGCAUAUGUAUAUUACACUAAUAUGCCCACUUAGUCUCUGGCAGUUAAAUGUUGCAUUAUUCUCAUGAGGAAACCAACUCAAUGAUGCCAUCUUCCAACAUUAUACCCGGUCUAUCAAAGACAUUCCCAUAUUUUAAGGAUAUGGAUGUUCCGCUCACCUAUGUAAUUUCUCAGUGACUUAGUGAAGGGAGUGCCUUUCGGGCCCUUUCAGAAAAAGCAACGUGGGAAGGACUGGCUGCACAUGAUAAAUCCAUUCCAACUUGCCUAUUUCCCUAAGCCCUUGGAUUUCUUUCUCUAUAUUAUACCAAGGAAGUGCUGAUAUUUCAACCUCACUGAGUAACCUCUGAGUCAAAUUUUUACUCAACCAACCAGGGUAAAAUGUUAGAGCCCCUUCCACCUGCCACAACCAACACAUUACAUUCAAACUCACUUGUAGGUGCACCAUAAUUUGACUUUGUCCAUUCAUAAACAUUUUGCAAUUCAUUUUGGAGUACAAAAUAUUUCCUCCCAGGUCACCUUGAGCAUAACCCCUUGGACCAUAAGGAGAAUUGACCCUAGUUACAAGAUGGUUGAGAAAAAAAAGAGCUGUUCCAUAUAAGAUAACUGUACCAGGAAAAGUUAUUAAAGAAUCUUUAAUAAGAGAAGGCUAAUUUCCUCAAACACAGAAGGGAGGGCUGCUUCCACUAGCAAAGAAACUUCAGAGUGUUGAGAUGUUCAACACUCUUAACAUUAACCAAGUCUUCCCAAAUGUUCUAUCCCAAGUUUUAGGGUCUAUUCCUUCCCGAUGGAUGCCCUGACUUUCAUGUGAGAGACUUGAUGAGGCUGUGAAUUUACCUUCGGUAACCCAUACAAUUAAAUUUUCUUUCUGAUUUUUCACAGGGAUUAUCAUAGAGCUUUAGGAAGGAAGAUAUAAUGUUUAGAUUCACUAUAGAAAUUCUUUGGCUCUCCAAAUGUGACUUGGCUGAAAGUCCCAUGGCUUGAGAUUUUAAAGAUCUGAGAGGCAUAAUUUUUUUUUUCUGAAAGCGCCUCAUUGCACAGAGGAGCAGCCAUCUCACUCCAAGUGCUUUUGGUUAUCACCGGAGCCAUAACAGGUAGAAGCAGCAGCCACUUCAGUUCUCCGAACAUGUGCUUCCCUGGAUACUUUAUCACAAGCAACUAUAAAAGAUAAGUUUGUUAGUCACGAUGUCACUAGAUGCCUUGAAUUAUUUGGAUCCCAUUUCAUUUUGGCAAGGAUCUCAGCACUAAAUUCAAAGUUAGUUCAAAGAGAAAACUGAACCAAGCCCUAAAGCAGGGGUCCCUAACCCCUGGGCCAUGCACCGCUACCGUUCCUGCUAGGAACCAGCCUGCACAGCAGGAGGUGAGCAGCGGGCAAGUAAGUGAAGCUUCAUCUGUCUUUACAGCCGCUCCCCAUCGCUUGCAUUACCGUCUGAGCUCUGCCUCCUGUCAGAUCAGCGGCAACAUUAGAUUCUCAUAGGAGCGCAAACCCUACUGUGAACUGCGCAUGUGAGGGAUCUAGGUUGCUCACUCCUUAUGGGAAUCUAAUGCCUGAUGACCUGAGGUGGAGCUGAGGCAGUGAUGCUAGCACUGGGGGGUGGCUGCAAACACAGAUUAUCCUUAGCAGAGAGGUUUGACUGCACAGCGACCAUAAUAAAUAAAUUUCUUGCAGACUCAUAUCAAGACCCUAUCGGUGAGUGGCAAGUGACAACUACGUUGCAUCUGGUGGCAGGCGUUAUAGUGGCAAGUGAGUUGAUAUACUUCAAUUGUACAGCUGCAUCUGGUGGCAGGCUUUAAGUCAGAAUCCAACACUUAUUUUAGUCCGUGCGUGGCCCACCCAUUAUUUUAUUUACCAUUUCCAUCCAUGCCUCUCUCCCACACACUUGUCUCAGUCACAGUUGUGGUGAGCCCACAAGCUAACCCUAGCCAAAAUGAGUAAAAAAGCAAUCAUCGCUGGAGAGCUUCUUUGAAAACGGGGAAAGACCCAGUGAUGAGACAGCAGAAGACUCUAAGACUGCCAACAAAAAAGAAAGCUGCAUUUAAAAGAAAAUACCAAGAGUCCUACUUAAAUUAUGGGUUCAUUGCAACAGGUGAUUCACAUUCCCCAAGCCUGCUUUGUAUAAUAUGUGGCGAUCUGCUAUCCAGUGAAGCCAUGAAACCUUCAAAACUGCUUCACCACAUGGAGACCAAACACCCUACAUUAAAAGACAAGCCUUUGGAAUUUUUCAAAAGAAAAAAAUGUGAACACAAAGAACAGAAGUAAUUGUUGGAGGCCACCACUUCAUCAAAUGUGUCUGCACUGAGAGCAUCAUUCGUACUGGAUACCCGCACUGCUAAAGCUAAGAAGCCCUUUCCUAUUGGGGAAGAGUUGAUCCUGCCUUCUGCUAAGGACAUUUGUCACGAACUUUCAGGAGAGGUUGCAGUUCAAAAGGGGGCACAUGUUUCUCUUUCAGCUAGCACCAUACCUAGAUGAACUGAUGAAACAGCAGAGGAUAUUGCGGCACAAUUGUUCGAGAGGAUUAAUGAGUCACUGUGGUACGCAAUCCAGGUUGACGAGUCUACCAGUGUGGACAAGGCAACAAUGCUUGUUUCUGUGUGAUAUAUUUUUCAGGAGGAUGUGCAUGAGGAUAUGUUAUGUGCACUUGUGUUGCCAGCCAACACCACAGCUGCAGAGCUAUUCAAGUCUUUGCAUGAUUACAUAUCAGGAAAUCUGAAUUGGUCAUUUUGCGUCGCCAUAUGCACGGAUGGAGUGGCUGCCAUGACUAGACGGCUUUCUGGUUUCACUACUCAGGUCAAAGAGGUCGCUUCUGAAUGUGUGUACACACUGUGUCAUCCGUAGGGAAAUGCUGGCUAGCCGAAAAAUGUCACCUGAACUUAACAACAUUUUGCAAGCUGUGAUUAAAAUUAUCAACCACAUUAAAGUGCAUGCCCUUAACUCACAUCUGCUUGUGCAGCUCUGUGAGGAGAUGGAGGCAGAGCACACUCGUCUUCUCCUGCAACACAGAGUGAGAUGGCUUUCUAAAGGUAGAUCACUGGCCGGAGUUUUUGAGUUACGAGAGCGGCGCCAGAGAUUUCUUUUAGAAAAACAGUCACCACUGGCAGCACAUUUCAGUGACACAGAAUGGGUCGCAAAACUUGCUUACCUGUGUGACAUAUUGAACCUGCUCAAUGAACUCAAUCUGUCACUUCAGGGGAGAAUGAUGACUGUGUUCAAGCUGAGAGAUAAAGUGGCUGCGUUCAAAGCCAAACUGAAAUUAUUGGGGCAAAGAGUGAACAUUGGGAAUUUUGACAUGUUUCAAACAUUAGCAGAUAUUGUGAAAGAGACUGAGCCAGGGCCUUCUUUCUCCCAGCUGGUGCAUGUUCACCCAUCUCAGCUUUCAAAAGAGAUUGAGCAUUACUUCCCGUCCACAAAAGACCCCUGAACUGGGAAAGAAUGGAUCCACGACCCAUUUGUGAAUAAGCCAGGUGAAUCGACUUUGUCCGUGCUAGAAGAGGAUCAACUGCUUGAGAUCGCAAAUGACGGUGGCCUUAAAAGUAUGUCUGAGACAACUUCAGACCUCCAUACCUUCUGGAUUAAAGUCAAGGUGGAAUAACCUGAGAUUGCCACAAAAGUACUGAAAAGCCUGUUUCCAUUUCCAACAUCCUAUCUUUGUGAAGCAGGGUUCACGGAGGAGACUCGACAAAAGCAACACACUUCGGUGUCACGGCCUCCCAUCACCCCUAGAUGGAACCAUCUAGUUGCAGGAAAACAAGCUCAGGGCUCCCACUGAUUCUGCAUUAUGGAGUCCCCAACCCCCAGGCCGUGGACUGGUACUGGUCUGCAGACUGUUAGGAACUGGGCUACAGAGCAGGAGAAGUGAAUGUUGGCAGCCUAUUUUCUGAGAGUUUGCAUACGAGAAAAGAACUUUCUGUUGCCAAAGCACGUGACCAAUAAUCUGGCUGAGUACAGGAUUUUUCAGAGGCAACAUUGUCCCUCAAAAAAACUGCUCCUCCUUUUUUCCCCAGGCAUUUAGCAAUGGAGGGUUAAUUCUUAUGUCCUGAUGGGUUUUUAUUUUGAUCUUUUAAAAAUAUAUAUUAGGUCACAGAUCCAGUUGUCCUUAGAGAAAAAGCGAGAUAAUCAGCUCCCUGUAUAAUUCAAGCAGGGCCUUUGCCUCUCUACCAUUCUUCCCUGCUGUCUUUGCCCGCAAAAGAAACAAGCCCUGACAUGAUACGGCUUACCAUUUGCCUAGCUGCUCACAUAAGAGAGGCUUGGCCACACUGGGGUCCCUCUGUGUCAGGAGCCAACCUCCAUGCUGUCAAUUCUCUGCUUGGUUUGAGCUGUCCAUUCCAGGAGCAAAUUCUGCAGCUCUCUAAUUCUACUGGUGGAACCCAAAACCAUAUGUUUGGAAAAGAGAAAAGUAAUUCAAGUGUAACGCUACAAGUCUACUUUGCCUCCAUCAUUCACCUCCUGAUUUAGAUAAUAAAAAUUAUUUUACUUCUUAUCCCCAUCUUUCCAUAUUCAUGUAUUUCUAUCCAACAAUUGCUCUUCAUAAGAAGAGAUGUAUGGACCAACCUCUUAAUUCUUGAUAUCACCAACACAAAACAAAAACUCCUUGGUAUAAAAGUAGAUCAUAUAUAUCCAUGGAAUACAUGCUGAAUGGCCCUGCUUUGACUUUUACUGAACUGCACUUGAUUUCCUAUGCCAUCUGCCUUCGUAAAGGAUAUUAAAGGAAAUCAUCUUAUGAAACUUGUAAGUGUACUCACUGUAAGAUAUUGGUGAAAUAGUGUUCGUUACGUUGCACAGUAAGGCUGUCGUCUGUAAGUUCAGCCUUAACCUAGGUUUUAAAACAUACCCUUUCCUUAAGCAGGGACAUUUCUAAUCUUGUUCUCAUGGUAUAUCUUCAUCUCUAAAAUUAAGCUUUUGUCUUGUAGCUCAGUUUCAGUAACUUUAUUCUGUCCUAGUAAAGCUGUACCUUUUCUACCAGGUCUUUGUGCUGCCUUGUCCUUUUCAGUCUGCCUAAGUAUUAGAGCGCUGCCCUGAAACUCCACUCCCUGUGAUAGGAUGAAGUCUCUCUGGUGCUAGACGGACUGCCCUGACAUAAACUCUUCCAACACAUAGUUCUCGGCCUACUAGUCUCCAUGCAACUCUUGGCCAUUGAUCACACAUUUCCUCAGAGCCUUCUCAUUUCCUUCUAAUUGCCUACUUUAGAGGCUUUCCAGAAAACUCAGCCACACCUCAGUGGGCCUAUGUGGUCCUAAGAACCUACAUUCCUAAAUUCAAUCUGUCCUACCAUCCACCAAGCCCCCAGCUUUAGCUUAAUACUUCUUUUUCACCAGAACUGAGUCAGUUCUCAAGGCUUUAUCUGGAUUUGCCUGUAGAUGCCAAAGUCUUCUGUGAAGGCAAUUAAUAUUUGCACUGUGACUUACUGAACAUGCCAUAAUGUGUGAGUGGAGGUUCGUAGGACACAUUCCCACUCAUCUGAUACUGAAAUUCAGUUCUUUCAGAGUAAGAUGGCGUCUCCUCCAUGCCACAUAGUUUUACCCCUUUUUUGCACGUAAAUAGUUCAUGUGUCCUUGGCAUGUUUUUCAUUUUUUCUCUAAUCAUCCUCACAAAGGAAACCAUGAAUAGUUAUUCCUCCACCACUGAGUAGCACAAAGAAGAGAGAAACACACAAGUAUC